rnacentral:rRNA from 1 species
AUGGUACCAUCUGGCUCUCGCACUAGAGUUUUUCUGGAUGUUGGCUUUGGAGUAACAAGUUUUGGGCCAUACUUAAUUUCACGUGAAUUUGAGCAUGGUGUUCCUGCAAUGGUGGCAACUAAUUUAACACCGGCUAUUAUCCAAUGUUCCCGCUGUAGAAUAAAUUCGACAUGUGAUGGUGAGCUGAGGUAUAGUCAUGCUUCGUCUAAUACACCUGAAUCCUUUUCUUGA